UUUCCGUAGGUGAACCUGCGGAAGGAUCAUUACAGUUGGGGCCCCGCCCCGAUCAAGAUACCACCCCUUGCUUUUUGAGUACCUCUGUUUCCUCGGCGGGCUUGCCUGCCGGUUGGACAUUAUCAAACCUUUUUGUAGUUGCAAUCAGCGUCAGAAACAAAACAAUAAUUACAACUUUCAACAACGGAUCUCUUGGUUCUGGCAUCGAUGAAGAACGCAGC
rnacentral:misc_RNA from 1 species